CCUACGGGCGGCAGCAGUGAGGAAUAUUGGUCAAUGGCCGGAAGGCUGAACCAGCCAAGCCGCGUGAGGGAGGAAGGUGCAGAGGGUCGUAGACCUCUUUUGUCGGGGGACAAAAGGCCGGACGCGUCCGGUUCUGAGGGUACCCGGAGAAAAAGCAUCGGCUAACUCCGUGCCAGCAGCCGCGGUAAUACGGAGGAUGCGAGCGUUAUCCGGAUUUAUUGGGUUUAAAGGGUGCGCAGGCGGGCCAUUAAGUCGGCGGUGAAAUCGCGGGGCUCAACCCCGUCGAGCCGUUGAAACUGGGGGCCUUGAGUGCGUGAGAAGCAUGCGGAAUGCGCGGUGUAGCGGUGAAAUGCAUAGAUAUCGCGCAGAACCCCGAUUGCGAAGGCAGCAUGCCGUGGCGCCACUGACGCUGAUGCACGAAAGCGCGGGUAUCGAACAGGAUUAGAUACCCUAGUAGUC
rnacentral:rRNA from 1 species